GUUCAAACAAGUCAAUAAAACUAAACUUCGGAGCCAAGCAGUCACGGUGGGAAAAUGACCACUUAAAGAUUGCCAAGAGAAAAGACAAGCACGUUGAACUUCAAAUGGUGAUGGAGAGACCAGGCAUGGGGCAAGGCCUAGGAGAGUGGUUACCCAUGGGGUUUUCAAGUUAACAGUCUUGGAUCAAAAGUCUAGGCGAAAAAGAACCUUCCGCUAUCUCUUACCGUGAAGCUCAUUACUGGACCUUUUACAAUCUGUGGAAUCCAAAUGAAGCAAGCACCACCAGGUCUCAGAAGGGAGUGCAGAUCUUCCUAAUAAGGCAAUAUAAAAUCUGGAGCCACUAUGUAGAGACAGCUGGUAAUAGUAAAGCGGCCGCAGAAGAAAUUGGAGUAAAAAGAUGCGAAGAGGCCAAAUCCUGAUGACAUCUGCUGAACUGUUGAACCGUUUGGUCUAGCCAGCGCUGCUUCAGGUUUUCCAAGUUUAUGAGCUGGUCAGUUGGCUGAUGUGGCUGUGAUGAUGUUUGAGGAAGUUUUUUGUUGAAACUGUGCUUAAUGGACUAUCUCCAUGGAUUAACUGCUUCCAUAUUCAUAACAGUCUUACAAAGGAGAGCCUAUCAUUGGUUGUGGUUUACAAAAGAAAAAACUGAGGCCAGAAGAGGAGAAAUGACUUGGGAAAAAACACACCGCUAGUAAGGGACAGAGCCUGGACACUAACCUCACUCCCUUGAAUUCCAAAGUUUAUACCUUUUACAACCAUCAAAUGCCAGAUAAGUGAACGAGAAUGCCUUCAUUACCAUUCUUCGUGUGGACUAAGAGGGUUCUGUUUAGGAAAUGUAAAUAAAGGAAAAAACGCUUGAUUCAUGUAUUAAAAACAAAUAUUAUUACUAAUCAGG
rnacentral:lncRNA from 1 species